rnacentral:rRNA from 1 species
GGGCCCGCACAAGCGGUGGAGUAUGUGGUUUAAUUCGACGCACCACGAAAACCUUACCUGGGCUUGAACUGCUAAUAGUAAGAGCCGGAAACGGUGAUGAUCCGCAAGGAAGUUAGUAGAGGUGCUGCAUGGCUGUCGUCAGCUCGUGUCGUGAGAUGUUGGGUUAAGUCCCGCAACGAGCGCAACCCUUAUCCCAUGUUACCUGUAGUAAUGCAGGGUCUCUGAGGAAACUGCCAUUGAUAAAAUGGAGGAAGGUGGGGACGACGUCAAGUCAUCAUGGUCUUUAUGUCCAGGGCUACACACGUACUACAAUGGUUGAUACAGAGGGUAGCGAAUAUCGUAAGAAGGAGCAAAUCCCUAAAGUCGACCCCAGUUCAGAUUGUGGGCUGGCAAUUCGUCCACAUGAAGCAGGAAUCGCUAGUAAUCGCAGAUCAGCAGGCUG